UGAGGAAUAUUGGUCAAUGGGCGGAAGCCUGAACCAGCCAAGUCGCGUGAGGGAAGACGGUCCUAUGGAUUGUAAACCUCUUUUGUCGGGGAGCAAAGCGGCGUACGAGUACGCCGAAGGAGAGUACCCGAAGAAAAAGCAUCGGCUAACUCCGUGCCAGCAGCCGCGGUAAUACGGAGGAUGCGAGCGUUAUCCGGAUUUAUUGGGUUUAAAGGGUGCGUAGGCGGAUUGUUAAGUCAGCGGUAAAAAUGCGGUGCUCAACGCCGUAUCGCCGUUGAAACUGGCGGUCUUGAGUGAGCGAGAAGUAUGCGGAAUGCGUGGUGUAGCGGUGAAAUGCAUAGAUAUCACGCAGAACUCCGAUUGCGAAGGCAGCAUACCGGCGCUCAACUGACGCUGAGGCACGAAAGCGUGGGGAUCGAACAGG
rnacentral:rRNA from 1 species